ACGGGGGGUGCAAGCGUUGUUCGGAAUCAUUGGGCGUAAAGCGCGCGCAGGCGGCUUGGGAAGUCAGAUGUGAAAUCCCUGGGCUUAACCCAGGAAGUGCAUUGGAUACUGCCUCGCUUGAGUACGGGAGAGGAAAGUGGAAUUCCUGGUGUAGAGGUGAAAUCCGUAGAGAUCAGGAGGAACACCGGUGGCGAAGGCGACUUUCUGUCCGGGUACUGACGCUGAGGCGCGAAAGCGUGGGGAGCAAACAG
rnacentral:rRNA from 1 species